UGAGCUGAGCUGCAUUAGUGUGAGCUGAGGUGCAUUAGUGUGAGCUGAGGUGCAUUAGUGUGAGCUGAGGUGCAUUAGUGUGAGCUGAGGUGCAUUAGUGUGAGCUGAGGUGCAUUAGUGUGAGCUGGGGUGCAUUAGUGUGAGCUGAGGUGCAUUAGUGUGAGCUGGGGUGCAUUAGUGUGAGCUGGGGUGCAUUAGUGUGAGCUGGGGUGCAUUAGUGUGAGCUGGGGUGCAUUAGUGUGAGCUGGGGUGCAUUAGUGUGAGCUGAGGUGCAUUAGUGUGAGCUGGGGUGCAUUAGUGUGAGCUGAGGUGCAUUAGUGUGAGCUGGGGUGCAUUAGUGUGAGCUGAGGUGCAUUAGUGUGAGCUGGGGUGCAUUAGUGUGAGCUGAGGUGCAUUAGUGUGAGCUGGGGUGCAUUAGUGUGAGCUGGGGUGCAUUAGUGUGAGCUGAGGUGCAUUAGUG